rnacentral:tRNA from 1 species
GAGACACUAGUACAAACUAAUUACACUGCUUUGUCAGGGCAGAAUUGUGGGUUGAAGUCCCACGUGUCUUG